UCGAAAAUUUAAGAUUUUUUUUAUGAAUUUAAACUAGUGUAAUGUGUAUGAAUGAAUUUGAUUGGUUUUACAAUAAAAUUUAAAUUGACGUUGCAUAAUUUAUUAUUCGGUUUUCCUUUCAAUAUGCUUUUGAAUAUUGAGCGUCAAUUUUUUACAUAUGUAAAAACCAUGCUUUCUCUAGUAAUUAUAUGCUGGCUAGGGGCUUGUUGCAUUGAAGGUUACGAUUCCGUUCUCGUAAAGUGUGUCGUGAAAAGCGAAACACGGCUUUGGCUGAAAAACGUGGAAAGUAUAUUUUGAAUGCAAGGUCAAAAUUCGUUCGUUGAAAUUUGAUGAAGAAGCCAUUAUCAAUGAAAUUGAAAGCGAUGUGCGUCAGGAAUACGUCUAAAGAGAUAUUGUGAUAAAAGUCAUCUCUUAAAAAUCUAUUGUAUUUAAUGAUUGGUACUUAGGUGUGUGAAAUGUAAUCUUUGGAGUUAUGUGCAUAAACUAUAGUUUUUGAGUGUGAGGUGCAUGAAAUAUAGUGUUUGCCAGCUAAUUGUGUGAAUUAUAGUGUUUAUGAGUUAGAUGCAGGAAGUAUAGUGUUAGUGAGUUAGGGGGAUUCAUUAUAAUAUAUGUGAUUUAGUGGCAUAGACUAUAACAGUCAGGAGUUAUGUUCAUGAACUCUAGUCUUAUGGUGUUAAGUGCAGGAACUAUAGUCUUUGGGAGUCAAUGUAAUAUAAUAUGAAAGAAAUGCACGAGAUUUCAUGACAAAUUAAAUUUGCUGAUGCAUUGUAACUUUGCAUAUCAUUAUUUCAUAUUUUCUCACA